CACAAUGCAUCAUCUUCAGAUGAAGAAGAAGUCCCCCAAGCUGAAAGCCUUGAGGCGCUUUCUCACAGACACCCAUUUUUGUCAAAGAACAGCAAAAUAACAUGGUCCUUGUCACCAUAUGACAACCAGGGCCGAAUGGCAACACAAAAUGUCAUAAGGAUGACCCCAGGUCCCACAUGCAGUUGCCCAUGCCCAGGACAUUGCCUCAACAUUCUACAUAUUCAUCACACCAGCCAUCGACAAAAUCAUCCCGGAGAUGACAAAUUUGGAGGGUUUCUGUAAAUAUGGAGAAAACUGGAAAAGGAUGGAUGAGAUUGACCCGCAUGCCUAUAUAGGGCUGCUAAUCUUAGCGGGUGUGUAUAGGUCCCGAGGCGAGGCUACAUGUAGUCUCUGGGAUGCAGAGAGUGGAUGGGCGAUUUUCCGUGCCACGGUGCCACUGAAAGUCUUUCACACUUUCUCAAGAAUGCUACGAUUUGAUAACCGUGAGCCAAGACCUGCAAGACGUGUUAGAGACAAACUAGCGGCCAUAAGAGAGGUCUGAGAGAAGUGGGUGGAGUGUCUGCCAUACCUCUAAAACCCUCGGCCUGAAGUAACAGUGGAUGAGCAACUGGUUCCAUUCAGAUGUAAAUGUUUAUUUUCAUAUCUGUAAUUUCGCUGUCCUUUCCGGCAGUAUAUGCCCAGCAAGCCAGCAAAGUAUGCAUCAAGAUACGGGUGGCCUGUGAUGCACAAUCCAGCUACGCUUGGAAGAUGCAAGUCUACACAGGGAAGCCGACCGGUGGAGGCCCGGAGAAAACCAGGGGAUGCGGGUUGUGCUUGAUGUGACAGAUGGACUGAGGGGGCACAAUGUCACGUGUAACAAUUUCUUCACCUCUUAUGAACUCAGCCAGCAGCUCCUGAAGAGGAAGAUUACCAUGGUUGGCACAGUUACAAAGAACAUUCCUGAGCUCCCCCUGCACUCCUCGCAACAAGGGGGAGAGAGGCCUUCUCAUCAAAGUUUGCCUUCACCCCCACCACCACUCUAGUUUCUUACCUCCCAAAGAGGAACAAGAAUGUGGUCCUCCUGAGCACAGUGCUUAAAACAGCUGAGGUCAGUGAUCGUGAGGACAGGAAGCCACAGCUGGAAUUUACAGCUGCAGGAGGAUGACUGCCCGCUUGCCCCUGGUCAUCUUCCAUAACAUCAUUGAUGUGUCCUCAUACAAUGCCUUCGUGAUAUGGAACAAGAUCAACCCUGCCUGUAUGCCUGAUAAGCAGAACAAUUGGAGGGUGUUCCUGGAGCAGCUGGGAAAGGCACUUGUAACCCCACACAUUCAAAGAAAGGAGUGCCUGGCCCGCGCAGCAGCCUCUGCUGUAUGUUUACACCUAUGCAGUACCUUUAGAAAUAAUAAUAAUAAACCUCUAAUUUAGUAAAGAAAACAAUUAUGACAGGUGUGUUGUAAUAAAAAUGAAUGGUGUCCACUGAUUAAAUGAGUUUUUUCUGCAUUGUGAAGAGGGAAAUCCCAGAUUUUCAAAAAGUUUGUAAUGAAGGACAGGUUGUUUCUUCAUGCAAAUAGAUUUAGGGUUUAAAAUUCAAUUAAGCUGCUUUAUCAUUUUUUACCCUUAGAAAAAGAGAGUAUACAGAAUGUUAAGACCAUAACAUUUGAGUUGAACAAGUUACAGUUCAUGAUCAAUUACACCAAAAGCAGCACUGAAAUCUAGCAACACUGCACCACCUAACUUCCUGUCAUCCAUAAUCUUUAACCAAUCAUCCGUCAUUUGUGAUAUCACUGUACUCGUGGAAUGCCCUUCUUCGUAUGCAUGCUGGAAACCCAUUAUCAGAUCAUUACAUGAUAAAUAAUGCUGGAUUUGUACAGAUACAAUUAUUCCCAAUAAUUGACUUAUCACAGGCAGAAAGCUUAUAGGACGACUAUUAGGACCAGUGAAUGCAGAUUUUUAUCCUUAGGUAGUGGAAUGACCUUUGACUCUUUCCAGACUUCUGGGCACACCCCAGAGAUUGGGGUAGAUAUUUGGUUAGUUGUAACUUGACUUGUCAUCCGAAAGAGACAACAGCAUCCUUUCUACCAAUUCCCUUUUUACUUGAUGAAAUUCAAACAUGCAUUGCCUCUCCUUCAUGAUACAAUCUUUUAUAAGGGUAUAUGACAUAGAGCCAUCAGUUGGAAUCAUAGCAUUCCUCAACUUGUCUACUUUGCCUGUAAAAUAUUCAUUUGUUUGUGAUGUCAAGUGUUUUUGUAAUAAAAAUACCCUCUGAUUCAACAAAAGAGGGGGGACAUGUUCAAAUUCCUACCCAUAAUAGUGUUCAACAUUCUCCACAGUUUUUUCCCGUCACCCUUUACUUCAUCAAUGUUGUGCUGAUAGAAUCCCUCGUUCUUUCCUUUGUUUAGCUUGGUCACAAUUUAUCUGCUAUUUCUUUGGCAUCAAAAUGUUGAAUCAUAAACUUUCUCAGCUCAUCAUCAAUCCAUGUGGCACC
ensembl:lncRNA